UUUAUGGAGAGUUUGAUCCUGGCUCAGGAUGAACGCUGGCGGCGUGCCUAAUACAUGCAAGUCGAGCGAACGGACGAGAAGCUUGCUUCUCUGAUGUUAGCGGCGGACGGGUGAGUAACACGUGGAUAACCUACCUAUAAGACUGGGAUAACUUCGGGAAACCGGAGCUAAUACCGGAUAAUAUUUUGAACCGCAUGGUUCAAAAGUGAAAGACGGUCUUGCUGUCACUUAUAGAUGGAUCCGCGCUGCAUUAGCUAGUUGGUAAGGUAACGGCUUACCAAGGCAACGAUGCAUAGCCGACCUGAGAGGGUGAUCGGCCACACUGGAACUGAGACACGGUCCAGACUCCUACGGGAGGCAGCAGUAGGGAAUCUUCCGCAAUGGGCGAAAGCCUGACGGAGCAACGCCGCGUGAGUGAUGAAGGUCUUCGGAUCGUA
rnacentral:rRNA from 1 species